GUACACUGCUGCCCAAAUGAGGUCCUUAUAGGACAGCUUGUGGAAGUAGAUUAUUCCCUUCUACUAUGUGGAUUCCAGGAAUUGAACUCAGGUCACCAGGCUUGGCAGCAAGCACCCCUAUCCACUUAGCCAUCUCACCAGUGCCAUGUAAAUGUGGUGUCAUUGUGAUAUUUCUGUAGGAGCUGUUUUGAACCUGCAAUCAUUCAUUGCUAGAUAGAUUGGAGUAUCUAACUUGUUGGGCCAGAAACUUCGUUCCCUAGAGCUUUGAUACCUGUGUCUUAGCUUUUUUUUUUUUUAUGUUAAAUGUAACUCCUGAAAUUAAAAUAAGUUUGAACGUAUAGGUUGUGGUUAAAAACAACAAUAAAGUCUAUUUUUACAAUUUAAAUCUGGUCAGCAUAAUGUCCAGAUUAUAAAAUUAGACUAAGGCUUGCUAGUUGGUUCCCAAGAUGGCUCCAGACAGCCUACAGCUGACCAUUGGCAGUAAUACCACUACUAAUCUUAACGUGACUAAGUACUUGCCUACUGUUUCUUUGAUAACCCGUUACCCUGUUAGUCUCUGUUUAGGUCACAGUGGUAUCUCCAGGGCCUAGCUUAUUGUCAUCUGGUACAGCCUUAGUUCUUGUGGCUUCGAGUUAAAUAAGUCACUUAUUUACUGGGAGACUUUGUUAGUGGGGUUGCUGGGAUCAGAGCCUGGGCCUUGACAGCCCUAAGAACCUGGGCUCAGCCACCCAUCCUCAGUAUGCUAAUCAAAUAGACAGUGUGAUAUGAAAAACAGAAAAAGAUUCAAUGUAACCAUAUUAGGAACAAAGCAUGACUAAUUUCACUCAGUAGUUUGAAAAAGGCAAGCUAUAUGAAAGCCGCUCUUCAAGUUAAGUUGGGAAGCCUCUGGUAAAGGAAAAGGAACACUCCGAGUGACCAUCUUGUAUCUCUAGGUUCUUUGUGUCUCAAACAAAGAACCGAGUGAGACAUGAGAUACAAGUUGUGAAAGCAAAGAUCAUUUUAAAUUGAGUGAAGGCAUAGAAUCCACUCUGCAGGACGGAGCAGGCUCCAGCAAGCAUGCAGCAAAGAGAAUCCCAUUUUCCACUCCAAAUGGAAAGGACCUUUCUUGUGAGUUUCUUACGGACCACACUGAAUGGCUCAUCAUUUCUGAGCUUCAGUCUAAGGCUGGAUCCAUUGCUCUGGGCCGGAGGCAAGGAAGAAUGACAUGGCAGUGGACAUUUGGGACAAAGAUGCUCAUCUCCCAGCAGCAAGAAAGCAGAAAUGGAGGAGGGAAGCAGGGACCGGGCACAACUGUCAAAGACCCAUUCCAGCCAUUGUCUUCUUCCGAUGGUGAUCUGAGUGAGGACACAAUAGAUGGAAUGGAAGACAUUUUCAAACUACGCAUGUGACAAGAGGUCAUCAUUCAGAAGACACAAGGAACUCCAAAGACUCAGUAAAGUGAACCGAAUCACCCAGCUGAAAGGUGGGCAGUAGACCUACAUAGGCAUUAAUUGUCCCAAAGAAGACUACAAAUGACUAAUGGGCCAUUUUAAAAAAUAUUCAUCAUCACCAAACCUCAGGAGAAUGUAAAUCAAAGCCACAAGGAGAUAUUGCCCUUCAAAUAAGAAAGACAAUCACAUCCCAAAGACCCAACAUAGUAAGUGACGACAGGAGUUGGAGAAAUGGGGAUCCGUGCAAACUGUGCUCACAGCAUGCUUGUGCAUGUGUGCAUGCGUGUAUGUGUGUGAGUUCGUACAGAGAUGAAAUGCUAUUCCAGACCCCCAAGAAAUAAAUGAAUAAGAAUAAAAUUACUAUAUGAUCCAGAAACCCCACUGUUCUCUUUAUGCAUAUGAAGAAACUAGACCAGUAUGUUGAAGAAUCAUCUUCCAUGUUUACGACAUUAUUCAUAACUAGAGAGAAAAAGAAACAGCCAAAGUGUCCACUAACUAGUGAAUGAAUAGCAAAAACAUGGUGCACAUAUACCACGGAACACCUGCAGCCCUAAGAAGAAUGGAGUUGUGGUAUUUGUAAUAACACAGAUGGAAUUGGAGAAGGUUGAGGUAAAUAAGUCAGUUACAUAAAGACAAAUUCCACAUCAUAUGUGGAAUUUCAGAAAAAAACAAACCAAAUCAAACCAGACUCUCACAUACAUGCAGAAUCAUCUUACAGAAGUUGAGAGCAGAAUAGUGGUGACCCGAGGUCUAGGACAGGAGGGAGGAAGGGUGAGGAAAGCUAAUUAAGGGGAUCAAGAAAUUCUGCUGUGUUAUUUAUGACAAUCAUUAGAAAAGGGUAACCAUAGUUAAGAAUGAACCAUCCAUUUCAAAAAACUAGAGGAGAGGAUUUUGAAAGUUUUUUUAAACCACAAAUAAUUAAAUAUUUAAGAAGAUAGACUAGACUGAAAUACUAUGAACACAUACAUGCAGAACACCCCCACAACGCCCCAUUACAAUUUUGCUGCAGCUAAAAUCAACUCAUGGGCCAAGGAUGCAGGUCAGCAGUAGGGCAGUCACUCAAUAUGUACUUCAAACCUAAAUCAGCAAAAACAUCUCCGGGCAGGACUGAGUGCAGUGUUUAGGGGACACAGGCACAUACAUUUAAAACAUCAAGAAUAUCUGUAACAAAGAUGCAAGAGAAAAAAGUAUGUCAAACAUUCCAACUGUUACUUCCCAGGGGAGGAUGCUAUUAGGAGCUGAUGGA